CCAAUCAAGUGGGAGGCUUGGAGAGGUCAAAUAGGGAAGCCAAGACGAUGGUUGGGGUUUUGUGUUGGUUUUUCUUAUGUUUUCCCCAUUUGUCUUUUCUUUUUUCCAUCCUCAAGAGUCCCAACCAAGUGGGAGGCUUGGAGCGACCGAAUAGGGAAGCUAAGAUGAAGACGAUGGCUAGGGUUUUGUGUUGGUUUUUUUUCUUUUUUUCUUUUUAUUUCUUUCUCUUUUUUUUGAGAUCUAUGGGAAGGAAAGCACUUGAGGGAGAUUGGAGGGGAAGAUCGAUGCCAGUGACGAUGGAAA
rnacentral:lncRNA from 1 species